AACAGGGCAAACGGGUCCAGGUGGGGAGUCCCCUUCAGUUACCCAACUUUAAGGCCAUAGCCCCCUCGCUACCAAAGUGUGUUUUCUCGAUCCGCAUCAUCAAGCUUCCUGGACAUGUUAGAAAUGCAAGAUCUUGGCGGGGCGCAGUGGCUCACGCCUGUAAUCCAGCACUUUGGGAGGCCAAGGCAGGUAGACUGCCUGAGGCCAGGAGUUCGAGACCAGCCUGACCAACAUAGUGAAACCCUGUCUCUACUAAAAAUACAAAAAAUUACCUGGGCGUGGUGGUGGGGGCCUGUGAUCCCAUCUUUCACUCGCGUCCGUGUGAAGACACCACCAAACAGGCUUUGUGUGAGCAAUAAAGCUUUUAAUCACCUGGGUGCAGGAGGGCUGAGUCCAAAAAGGGAGUCAGCGAAGGGAGAUGGGGUGGAGCUGUUUUAUAGGAUUUGGGUAGGUAAAGGAAAAUUACAGUCAGAGGGGGUUGUUCUCUGGCUGGCAGGGGUGGGGGGUCACAAGGUGCUCAGUGGUGGAGCUUUUGAGCCAGGAUGAGCCAGGAGAAGGAAUUUCACGAGGUAAUGUCAUCAGUUAAGGCAGGGACUGGCCAUUUUCACUUCUUUUGUGGUGGAAUGUCAUCAGUUAAGGCAGGAACAGGCCAUUUUCACUCCUUUUGUGAUUAUUCAGUUACUUCAGGCCAUCUGGAUGUAUACGUGCAGAUCACAGGGGAUAUGAUGGCUUAGCUUGGGCUCAGAGGCCUGACACCAUCUACUCGGAAGGCUGAGGCAGGAGAACUGCUUGAACCCAGGAGGUGAAGGCUGCAGUGAGCCGAGAUCACACCACUGCACUCCAGCUUGGGUGACAGAGCGAGACUCUGUCAAAAAAAAAAAAAGAGAGAGAGAGAGAGAAGGAAAGAAAGAAGAAAGAGAAGGAAGGGAGGGAGGGAGGGAGGAAGGGAGGGAGGGAGGGAGGAAGGAAGGAAGGAGGGAGGGAAAUGCAAGAGCUGUGGUCCUGCUCCAGCCCUGCUGAAUUAGAACCUGCAUUUUAACAAGACCCCCAGGUGAUUCCUGGUCACCUUUAAGGUAUAAGAAGCGCUGAAUGAGUACGUCACCAGGAGACACUGGCCGGUUCCCUUCCUGCUAUCAUCAUGUAGAUGGCGCCCCCUUGUGGAGAUUUUAUUGAGACAAGGUUUGGCUCUACCGCCCUGGCUGGAGUGCAGUGGCGAGAUCUCAGCCAACUGCAGACUCGAACUCCUGGAGCAAUCUUCCCACUUCAGCCUCCCGAGUAGAUUGGACUACAGGCACGCGCCACCAUGCCUGGCUGAUUUUUUUUAUUAUUAUUGGAGAGAUGAGGGGGUGUCUCGCUAUAUUGCUCAAGCUGGUCUUGAACUGCUGGCCUCGGAGAUCCUCCUGCCUCAGCCUCCCAAAGCACUGGGAUUGCAGUCAUAAGCCACUACACCCAGCCAGCCUUCUUCCUUUAUGGCAGGGGGUCUAUCUCUUGUUGGAUUUGAUCAUGGGUGCGUGAUUUGUAAUCAGCUGAAAAUCUGAAAGCACGGCAGAGAUGUUUUCUUGGAAAUAAGCAAUUUGUAUUCUUUUUUUUUUUUUCUAGACAGAGUCUUGCUCUGUCACCCAGGCUGGAGUGCAGUGGUGCAAUCUCGGCUCACUGCAGCCUCCACCUCCCGGAUUCAAACGACUCUCCUGCCUCAGCCUCCCGAGUAGCUGGGUUUACAGGCGUGUGCCACCAUGCCUGGCUAAUUUUUGUAUUUUUAGUAGAGACAGGGUUUUGCCAUGUUGCCCAGGGUGGUCUAGAAUUCCUGACCGCAAGUGAUCCGCCUGUCUGAGCCUCCCAAAGUGCUAGGAUUACAGUCAUGAGCCAUUGCACCUGGCAAUUUUCUCCAUUUUAAUAAGCCCUCCAAGAAGGUAACAAGGUCUUGUGGGCAAAGAAAUACAUAUGAAACUACAUCAACAUCUACAGAAGAGUGGCAGAUUUGCUUGGGUUCCCCAAACGCAGAUUCUGAGACAAUGACUUGGGUGAUGGCAGUUUAUUUGGGAGGUGAUCCCAGGAAGCAGGAGUGAGUUAGAGAACCAAGUCAGAAACAAGGCCAGGUUCCACCUGAAGCCAUCACGUUUGAGUCUCACCUAAGGCCCACAGCGUGAACCACCUGGCCUGGCCACCGCUGCUGAUUAUUCAGGGCCCAAGGGCUCUUUAGUCAGCAGGUGAUGAACCUGCCAGGACUGGGUCCUUACCUUCAACACAGCAGCUUCCCUUCCCCCUCACGGUGUGUUCGAAAUGUCCUCCAGGAGCUGGGGCCUGGAAUGGGAGUCACACAGUUCUGCCCAGUGCCCUACCCUACUGAGGUAGGAGGCAGGGCUUGUACACAGGACCAAACUGAGGACUGGCUGAAACAGGUCUAGGGCAAAAGCAGUUUUCCAUAAGACACACCCACCAGUGUACCGUAUCAGUUUACCAUUGCCAUGGCAACACUCGGACCUUAGCACCACUUUCCAUGGCAAUGACCCGGUGACUGGAAAUUACCACCCUCAUCCUAGAAAUUUUUGCAUAAACUGCCCCUUGAUUUGCAUAUAAUUAAAAGUGGGUAUAAAUAUGACAGCAGUGCUGCCUCUGGGCUGCUCUUCUGGGCACACUGCCUGUGGGGUAGCCCCGCUCUGCAAGGGGCAAUUCCUCUGCUGCAGCUGUGCACUGAGGCUUCAGUAAAAGUUGCUAUUUAACACCACUGAGCCAGACACGGUGACUCAUGCAUGUAAUCCCAGCAUCUUGGGAGCCCGAGGUGGGUGGAUCACUUGAAGCCAGGAAUUCAAGACCAGCCAGCAACAUGGUGAAACUUCACCUCCACAAAACAUUAGCCGGGCACGGUGACACAUGCCUGUA
rnacentral:lncRNA from 10 species